AAGGGAGGAAAACAUGGUUUUAUUGUGUGUUUAAGGCACAUGCUUAUUUCCUUGAAGAAUGNUGCACAUGGGACAAGAAGUCAACACANUUUGGUGGCUUAUUGAAGGUGGAAAUUAANGUUUGNCUUGUUGAAACAUGACUCAUGGCCAAGAGGUUUCCUUAGGCCAUUUGGACUUUUAAUUUAUUUGUUAAUUGCAUAUUGGGUCACUUAAUUUACUAGAAGUAAAAUAGGCAUGUUAAUUUCUCUUGUUUUCACUUAGUUUAAUUAGUAGGUUGAGUUAUCUUCAUGUGUUUGAGUU
rnacentral:lncRNA from 1 species